rnacentral:rRNA from 1 species
ACCGCAUAAGACCACAGCAUCGCAUGGUGCAGGGGUCAAAGGAGAAAUCCGACCAGAGGUGGGCUCGCGUCCGAUUAGCCAGUUGGCGGGGUAAUGGCCCACCAAAGCGACGAUCGGUAGCCGACCUGAGAGGGUGAUCGGCCACAUUGGAACUGAGACACGGUCCAAACUCCUACGGGAGGCAGCAGUGGGGAAUAUUGGGCAAUGGGGGAAACCCUGACCCAGCAACGCCGCGUGAAGGAAGAAGGUCUUCGGAUCGUAAACUUCUAUCCUUGGUGAAGAUAAUGACGGUAGCCAAGAAGGAAGCCCCGGCUAACUACGUGCCAGCAGCCGCGGUAAUACGUAGGGGGCAAGCGUUGUCCGGAAUGAUUGGGCGUAAAGGGCGCGUAGGCGGCCUGGUAAGUCUGGAGUGAAAGUCCUGCUUUUAAGGUGGGAAUUGCUUUGGAUACUGUCGGGCUUGAGUGCAGGAGAGGUAAGUGGAAUUCCCGGUGUAGCGGUGAAAUGCGUAGAGAUCGGGAGGAACACCAGUGGCGAAGGCGACUUACUGGACUGUAACUGACGCUGAGGCGCGAAAGUGUGGGGAGCAAACAGGAUUAGAUACCCUGGUAGUCCACACUGUAAACGAUGAAUGCUAGGUGUAGGGGGUAUCGACCCCUUCUGUGCCGGAGUUAACACAAUAAGCAUUCCGCCUGGGGAGUACGGCCGCAAGGUUGAAACUCAAAGGAAUUGACGGGGGCCCGCACAAGCAGCGGAGCAUGUGGUUUAAUUCGAAGCAACGCGAAGAACCUUACCAGGUCUUGACAUCCAGUAAAAUCUGUAGAGAUACAGUGUACCUUCGGGCGUACUGAGACAGGUGGUGCAUGGUUGUCGUCAGCUCGUGUCGUGAGAUGUUGGGUUAAGUCCCGCAACGAGCGCACCCCUGUU